GACGAACGCUGGCGGCGUGCCUAAUACAUGCAAGUAGAACGCUGAAGGAGGAGCUUGCUUCUCCGGAUGAGUUGCGAACGGGUGAGUAACGCGUAGGUAACCUGCCUGGUAGCGGGGGAUAACUAUUGGAAACGAUAGCUAAUACCGCAUAAGAGUAGAUGUCGCAUGACAUUUGCUUAAAAGGUGCAACUGCACCACUACCAGAUGGACCUGCGUUGUAUUAGCUAGUUGGUGAGGUAACGGCUCACCAAGGCAACGAUACAUAGCCGACCUGAGAGGGGGAUCGGCCACACUGGGACUGAGACACGGCCCAGACUCCUACGGGAGGCAGCAGUAGGGAAUCUUCGGCAAUGGACGGAAGUCUGACCGAGCAACGCCGCGUGAGUGAAGAAGGUUUUCGGAUCGUAAAGCUCUGUUGUAAGGGAAGAACGAGUGUGAGAGUGGAAAGUUCACACUGUGACGGUAUCUUACCAGAAAGGGACGGCUAACUACGUG
rnacentral:rRNA from 1 species